rnacentral:SRP_RNA from 1 species
CGCAACCGGUCAGGCCUGAAACGCAGGAGCCUCAGCGCAGCUCGACGGGUGCCC